UUAUUGUCUCGUCUGGCUUUCGCUUCAGCCCGAAACAAAAGGGCAACCAUUAAAAAACAUAAAAGGAGUAAAAAACCGCCACAAUAAAACGAAUCAUUACCCUAGUGAGAACAUUUGAUACGUUACAACGUUGGACAUGAUUGACCAUUGUUUUUGAUCGGAAACUGUCAAAAAAAUAAACAUAUCGCUUCUCGUCUCCCUCGAAUGAGUUCACUGAAUGAAUUACUUGAAGACGACUUGCCUCUCAUCCACGACAUGACCGGAAGGCAAUUUAAUAGACCAAAUCAUAACGUUUUGCCCGAGGAUGUAAAACCAUAAUGGGCGAAAUUAGUAUUGGACUUUGUUAUGUUGUCACUUGUCAGAUAAUACGUUUAGAGAAAUGCGCCAAGUAU